rnacentral:rRNA from 1 species
UAGUCCACGCCGUAAACGAUGGUUACUAGCUGUUCGAUCUUCGGAUUGAGUGGCUAAGCGAAAGUGAUAAGUAACCCACCUGGGGAGUAUGUUCGCAAGAAUGAAACUCAAAGGAAUUGACGGGGGCCCGCACAAGCGGUGGAGCAUGUGGUUUAAUUCGAUGAUACGCGAGGAACCUUACCAGGGCUUAAAUGUAGUAUGACAGGGGUGGAAACACCUUUUCCUUCGGGCAUAUUACAAGGUGCUGCAUGGUUGUCGUCAGCUCGUGCCGUGAGGUGUCAGGUUAAGUCCUAUAACGAGCGCAACCCCUGUUGUUAGUUGCCAGCGAGUCAAGUCGGGAACUCUAACAAGACUGCCGGUGCAAACCGUGAGGAAGGUGGGGAUGACGUCAAAUCAUCACGGCCCUUACGUCCUGGGCCACACACGUGCUACAAUGGUAGGUACAGAGAGCAGCCACGUCGCAAGGCGGAGCGAAUCUAUAAAACCUAUCUCAGUUCGGAUCGGAGUCUGCAA